AGUUUGAUCAUGGCUCAGGACGAACGCUGGCGGCGUGCCUAACACAUGCAAGUCGAGCGGGGACAUAAUGAGUAGCAAUACGAGUAAUGUUCUAGCGGCGGACGGGUGAGUAACGCGUGAGCAAUCUGUCUCUUACAGGGGGAUAACGCAUCGAAAGAUGUGCUAAUACCGCAUAAGACCACGACAAGGACAUCUUGAUGAGGUCAAAGGAGCAAUUCGGUAAGAGGUGAGCUCGCGUCUGAUUAGCUAGUUGGUGAGGUAAAGGCCCACCAAGGCAACGAUCAGUAGCCGACCUGAGAGGGUGAUCGGCCACACUGGAACUGAGACACGGUCCAGACUCCUACGGGAGGCAGCAGUGGGGAAUAUUGGGCAAUGGGCGAAAGCCUGACCCAGCAACGCCGCGUGAAGGAAGAAGGUUUUCGGAUCGUAAACUUCUAUCCUUGGUGAAGAUAAUGACGGUAGCCGAGAAGGAAGCCCCGGCUAACUACGUGCCAGCAGCCGCGGUAAUACGUANGGGGCAAGCGUUGUCCGGAAUGAUUGGGCGUAAAGGGCGCGUAGGCGGCCAACUAAGUCUGAAGUGAAAGUCCUGCUUU
rnacentral:rRNA from 2 species